rnacentral:lncRNA from 1 species
CUUCGCUUUUCACCUUUAGCAUUGUAAGGAAAUCACUAUUGGGUCUCAAGUUUACAAUUACCUGCGGUUGUGCUGGGAUGCGUGGAAUUACCCUACUUCCGAAGUGGUUUUCUAAGUAGCAGCAUGAGAUAAUUUUUCCAAUGGUAAGUAGCAGCAUUAGUUAUCUUGAAGAUUCGCCUCAGCAUUUAGACUAGGAAGAACCAAUAGAUUCAGUUAAUUACAUUAGUACUGUGGUAGACAUAGGCCUUAUAUAUGUUCAGUGUUGCUCUGAAGGUGCAGGUUUUCCCUACUGAAAACUUGUGACAACAUGCGAAGGCUCGCGAUUUGUGCAUUUAAAAAGUUUGGUGCGUCACGUGCUGCAUUCGAGCUUUCGUUUCCUGUCACUGUCUAAUCCCUGUUCUAUCUUUUCUGCAUCAAUGUAAGGAUGAUCUGUUCACUUCCAUUGAAGAUACUUGGCCAGUGCUUGAUAGCGCCCACUUUGCCAAAUUUGAUGACAUAGACAUGGGACUACAGCCAUCCAAUUUUGAGUUUUUUUUCUCCCUCUUGUCCAUUUCUCAUUAUUUGUGGCUCCUUUUAUCUCGUAUCUCCUGCACAUUUGGAUGAUAACAACAUUUUUUCUGCUUCGUAUAUGUACAUAAAUAUCUUCCUUUUAGGGAAAUGCACAUACAUAUCUUGUGAGAAGAAGGCUUGGUUGCAUCUGUGCAUUUCAUACUAUCGGUGGGUAGGUCUAAGUCAUGGUUGAUAUGUUUUUCACCUCAAAAUGUUGCUAUCAAGUUCAUAAUUGCCCUCAACUUUUAUGGGAAGCUUGAGAUUGCUUCGGAUCUGACUGUCUAAGAAGCAGCAGUAGGUGUCUUAGCUGCAUGUGAAGAUUUGCCUCGGCAUUAAAGUAGGAAGAACCAGUAGAUUCAGUGAAGUACUUUUAAGCAUUGUGGCGGCCAUGCAUAAUCCAUAUGUUCGGUGUUGAUUCAAAGAUGCAGGGACAUCUCUUUUAACCCCGAUAACUUGCGACGAAUGAGGGGCGCGAUUUGCGCACUCUAAGAGGCAUGUGCUACAUCUGAUCUUUCAUUUCCCUGUCUUUACAGGAAUCUUUCAUUUUCUGUCAUUGUCUAAUCCCCUGCUCUGCCUUUCCUGCAUCAAUGUGAGGAGGUGCUCACUUUCAUUGAAGAUUUCUUUUGUCACUGUUUGAUUGUGCCACAUCACCAAAUUUAUUAAGACAUGACUGCAGUCAUCUGAUUUAUGUGUUUCUUUUUUUCGCCCGUCAUUUUGCCAUCAUGUGUUGUGUGGCCCCUUUGAUGUGCUUCCCAUCUGGAAGCUCACAAAAUUUGUUCUGCUUCAUUCUUCAUAUAUAUGUGUGGUUCCAGUUUUACAGAAAUUUGCUGUACCAUUCCAGCGGAUAGAGAACAUCAUAGUAUGGUAGCUGUAUUUUAAACUUCUGCGCGACUCCCAAAUUGGAGUACAAAUCCAGUCAAAAAGUCGAUUCUUUCUUACUCUGACCAAAUAUAUGGACCAAAAUAUCAACAAUUAAAUACUCCGUCGGUCUCAAAAUUCUUGUCUUGGUUUGUUUAGAAAUGGAUGUAUUUCUUGUCUUUGGUUUGUUUAGAAAUGGAUGUAUGUAAAUAUUAAAAUGUGACUAGAUA